rnacentral:pre_miRNA from 1 species
AGUGUGAUUGCUGGACCAUAUGAUAAGAGUAUGUUUUAUUUUGAAAGAAACUGCCAAACUGUCUUCUAAAAUAGCUGUAUCAUUUUGCAUUCUCACCAGCAAU